rnacentral:lncRNA from 1 species
AGCGAUCUGACAAGUACAAAAAAUGGAACAACUACACAUUUUGAAAGUCUUUUAUUCUUUUUGACGUCCAAUAGAUAUCCAACUUCAUCGAUUCCAUAUUGGUAAUAAUUAUCAUAGAAGGUGGUUUUGAUGCACGUCUAGCUCUCAUAUUUUGGCUAGUGUCUUCUUUGUCUGUAGCUCCCUUUGUACUUUCAAUUGCCAUGACGCUCUCUCUCUCAAAUUCUUAACUAGAACUACUAUGCUCAAAAAUAUAAGGAACACAAGAAAUAGCAAUCUC